rnacentral:rRNA from 1 species
GUGGAAUUCUCAGAUUUGUUAAAGACUAACUUAUGCGAAAGCAUUUGCCUAGGAUGUUUUCAUUAAUCAAGAACGAAAGU